AAAAGAAAGAAUUGGGCAUGCCUGUACUUUAAAUUUAAUUUAAAAUACAUUGAUGCAGCUUGAUACUUAGAAAUACAUAAAAGGCAAUGUGAACUUUUACGCUUUUGUUUGUAUUCAAGGUUUUGGCUUCAUAAAACCAGAUAGAUUGAAACGUUGCAUAAGGUUUGAACACGCAGAUGAGUAAUGAUUUUCUAUUAAUGUUUGACUAUCUCCAUUCCUUUAAUUCAUGAAAAUUCUGUGUUUGAAUUAAAUAAGCAUAUAUAAAAAAUGAAACAAUUCUCUGAUCACUUCUAAUUGAGAAAAUUAAUCAUAGUAAUUUGUAAUCUGCAUGUUCAUGUAAUGAUAAAAAUUUCAAUCUUGUUUUAAAGUUAAGUGUCUUCCCUCUCUCAGCUCGAGUGUGCUGAAGGCAAAGAACUGUGGAAAAUGGAAGUACUGGGGCUUCCUCUCCCUCUCUCUCUCAUUUCCUCCCUCCCCCCUCUCCUUUUCUCUCCCUCCCUCCUAUCCCUCCUAAAGUGCUUCAUCUCAUUCCUCACCUUGCUAACUAAGGUUUCUUGCUGCUCCAGAGUUAGAGCUCAUAGAGGAGAGGAGGUGAGGGUGAUCAGAAAGUUUUACAUGGCAAGAACUGUUGUUGAUCUAGUGUUUACAUCUCUGGUUUUGGCAUGUGUUUAACACUACUCCUUUUUCCAGCAGGUGCUUCUUUGGAAACUUCUCAUCAUUGGGAUGUCUCUCCUUGACACGCAGAAGUACAUUUUUAUUUUGGCUUUCACAACACCUAGGAGUUUUAGAAGUACACUCUUUGCUUCUAUUUGCUCUGGUACCUUCUUUCCAGCGAGUGAUCCUUGAACAAUAUCUAAGACAGUUCUCUCUCUUGCGUGGCUUAGAGCUGGUCCAAGGGAAAUACUUUACCUUCUGAACCUGAGGAUAAUGAGGAAACAAUUUUAAACUCCCUGGGUGGUCCCUUGAAGCACUGAGCCUCAGGCUUCAGUUUAUCAUGUCACUGAGAGAACACAUCUGCUGUUUCCUGCUUCUUUCCCUUUGUGACGGUCUAUGAAGAAGGUGAACUGGACACGAGAGGAGGAAGAGGAGUGCUUGGCUACAAGUGAACUUCAUAAUCCCUCGUUCAUAGAAGGACC